rnacentral:sRNA from 1 species
AUGCAGACAAAGCCAUUCAAGGAAAGAGAGAGAGGAACCUCAUUUUGGAAAAUCUCCCCAACAGUUUGUUUAGCUUGGCCAUGAGAAGAGAGGAGGAGACAAAUAAACUUGGGUUUAUGGUAAUGGCAAAACGGCAAGUCAUAUAUCGGCAUCAGGCUCGUAUUUUUCGAGUUCU